AGGCAGCAGUGAGGAAUAUUGGUCAAUGGGCGCUAGCCUGACCCAGCCAAGUAGCGUGAAGGAUGACUGCCUUAGGGUUGUAAACUUCUUUUAUAUGGGAAUAAAGUGCAGUAUGUAUACUGCUUUGCAUGUACCUUAUGAAUAAGGAUCGGCUAACUCCGUGCCAGCAGCCGCGGUAAUACGGAGGAUCCGAGCGUUAUCCGGAUUUAUUGGGUUUAAAGGGAGCGUAGGCGGGUUGUUAAGUCAGUUGUGAAAGUUUGCGGCUCAACCGUAAAAUUGCAGUUGAUACUGGCAUCCUUGAGUACAGUAGAGGUAGGCGGAAUUCGUGGUGUAGCGGUGAAAUGCUUAGAUAUCACGAAGAACUCCGAUUGCGAAGGCAGCCUGCUGGACUGUAACUGACGCUGAUGCUCGAAAGUGUGGGUAUCAAACAGGAUUAGAUACCCUGGUAGUCCACACAGUAAACGAUGAAUACUCGCUGUUUGCGAUAUACAGUAA
rnacentral:rRNA from 1 species